rnacentral:rRNA from 1 species
CCUAUGCUGCCUAGAAAAGCUUCGUGAGCGAGUUGUGAGCCGCCCGUACCCCAAACCGACACAGGUGGAUAGGUAGAGAAUACCGAGGCGAUCGAGGGAAUCGUGGUGAAGGAACUCGGCAAAAUACCCCCGUAACUUCGGGAUAAGGGGGACCUGAUCCGUGAUGGCCGUUGCGGCCAGGAGCGGGGAGGGUCGCAGAGACCAGGCCCAAGCGACUGUUUACUAAAAACACAGGUCCGUGCGAAGUUGUAAGACGAUGUAUACGGACUGACUCCUGCCCGGUGCUGGAAGGUUAAGGGGAACUGUUAGCGCAAGCGAAGCGGUGAACUUAAGCCCCAGUAAACGGCGGUGGUAACUAUAACCAUCCUAAGGUAGCGAAAUUCCUUGUCGGGUAAGUUCCGACCUGCACGAAUGGAGUAACGAUUUGGGCGCUGUCUCCACCACGAACUCGGCGAAAUUGUAUUACGAGUAAAGAUGCUCGUUACGCGCAGCAGGACGGAAAGACCCCGGGACCUUUACUAUAGUUUGGUAUUGGUGUUCGGUACAGCUUGUGUAGGAUAGGUGGGAGACUGUGAAGCAUUCACGCUAGUGUGUGUGGAGUCAACGUUGAAAUACCACUCUGGCUGUUCUGGAUAUCUAACCUCGGACCCUGAUCGGGUUCAGGGACGGUGCCUGAUGGGUAGUUUGACUGGGGCGGUCGCCUCCCAAAGAGUAACGGAGGCGCCCAAAGGUUCCCUCAGCCUGGUUGGCAAUCAGGUGUUGAGUGUAAGUGCACAAGGGAGCUUGACUGUGAGACCGACAGGUCGAGCAGGGACGAAAGUCGGGACUAGUGAUCUGACGGUGGCGUGUGGAAGCGCCGUCACUCAACGGAUAAAAGGUACCCCGGGGAUAACAGGCUGAUCUUGCCCGAGCGUCCAUAGCGACGGCAUGGUUUGGCAUCUCGAUGUCGGCUCGUCGCAUCCCGGGGCUGGAGUCGGUCCCAAGGGUUGGGCUGUUCGCCCAUUAAAGCGGCACGCGAGCUGGGUUUAGAACGUCGUGAGACAGUUCGGUCCCUAUCCGCUGCGCGCGUUAGAGUCUUGAGAAGGGCUGUCCUUAGUACGAGAGGACCGGGACGGACCAACCUCUGGUGUGCCAGUUGUACCGCCAGGUGCAUGGCUGGUUGGCUACGUUGGGAAGUGAUAACCGCUGAAAGCAUCUAAGCGGGAAGCACGCUUCAAGAUGAGGACUCUCACCACCUUGAGUGGGUAAGGCCCCCUACAGACCAUGGGGUUGAUAGGCCGGAUGUGGAAGCACAGUAAUGCGUGGAGCUGACCGGUACUAAUAGGCCGAGGGCUUGCCC